rnacentral:rRNA from 1 species
UACGUGGGGUGCAAGCGUUGUUCGGAAUUACUGGGCGUAAAGCGUGUGUAGGCGGCUCGUUAAGUCUGACGUGAAAUCCCUGGGCUUAACCCAGGAACUGCAUCGGAAACUAGCGAGCUUGAGUCCGGGAGAGGGUAGUGGAAUUCCUGGUGUAGAGGUGAAAUGCGUAGAUAUCAGGAGGAACACCGGUGGCGAAGGCGGGUCUCUGGGCAGUAACUGACGCUGAGGAGCGAAAGCGUGGGGAGCGAACAGG